AGGAGCAGCAGCAGCAGCAGGAGCAGGAGCAAGCUGAGCAUAAAUAAUGUUUAACUAUUUAGUACGAGUCACUUAUGAACUAAGCAAGUUUUUUAAUUAUUAUCCAUUAAGCAAAGGACGCGAAUAGGAAGGCGCACAGAGCAGCAAACGAAAGAAUUAUGUAAAUUAAUAUAUAGAAAUCUUUGCAAAGACAACUCUCAAAUUGGAGCUUGGUUGUCGCUUUUGUAGUUCUUCCACUGAACAACGUUCCCGUUGAAUAUGUAUUUAGUUUUGCGCAUAUUUUUCCACAGUAAAUAAAGCAAAAUUAUAAAUAAAAACCAA